AAUUAGUGGAGUAUGCAUACCAAAUAUGAAGUCUCUAUCUCUCACGGUUUUAAAGUUACGGCGAAAGUUCGAAAAAAGCUAUUUUUAGCAUAUAGGUCACAGUCAAGGUCACUGACCUUGGUGUCAGUUGAAAGUGCCUAAUUAGUGGAGUAUGCAUACCAAAUAUGAAGUCUCUCUCUCUCACCGUUCAGAAGUUAUGGCGAAAGUUCCAAAAAGAUAUUUUUAGCAUAAAGGUCACAGUCAUGGUCACAAGGUCAUUGACCUUGGUGUCAGUUGAAAGUGCCUAAUUAGUGGAGUAUGCAUACCAAAUAUGAAGUCUCUAUCUCUCACGGUUCAGAAGUUAUGGCGAAAGUUCGAAAAAGCUAUUUUUAGCAUAAAGGUCACAAUCAAGGUCAUAAGGUCAUUGACCUUGGUGUCAGUUGAAAGUGUCUUUGUAGUGGAGUAUCCAUACCAAAUAUGAAGUCUCUAAGUCUCACGGUUCAAAAGUUAUGGCGAAGGUUAAAGUUGACAACAGACAAACAAACAGACAGACAUACAGCUAAACAGACAGACAGGACAAAAACAAUAUGCGCCCCAAAAAAUUUGGGUGCAUAAAAACUGUCUUGGAGUUAACAGCAGUUCUCUGUUUCUCCUGAAUGUUAUGUACAAUUUGAUCGGGAUCGGAAGAAUGUUUCAAAAAGUCGGGCUCAGUGAUCAAUUAAUUUAAACAACAGACCGCCAAAAUUUAACCUUGGCCUCCAUGUUGCAACGUCUGCUCUGUCUAAAGGAAGAAGUUUGUUGACCAGAUAGCCUGAGAUCGUAUUGCUGUAUCAACCAAAAGAUGCAGAUACACGUAUUUCAUAUGCGCGUCUGUGCAUGAGGAGGAGAUUUUCUGAAAAAGAAUAAGUGCUUAUUCAACUUACUGCGAUUUUAACGGGCUUAAAGCUUGGUCCAUGGAUGGUUAUGUUUGAGGAUUUGCCAAUUCGACCGCAAGUGCUGCUGCAAGAAAUUAAACAUGCAGAGACCUUACAAAUUACAAAGAAGUCUGAAGAAAAUUUUUAUUGGACAGAUGGGUGUAAAGCACAGGCCUGAGAUAUAAAUUGAAUUGUGAGAAAUAUGAAUCAGGGAUGCAGGUAGAAAAUGGCAAAUGUGAUCCAGAUUGAUAAAAAGUGUCUAAAAUUUUUUCUUGUUUUGUAAAUAUUCAAUGCUAUGUCAAUUGUUAUUUUUUCCCCAAUACCUAAUAGUGUUGAACAUUUCACUCCCACUUUUGCUUAAAUAGAAUGAAUAAAUUUCCAUUUAUUUAAUAUGAAUAUUAAAAAAUGCCACAUUUUUUCCAUGAUGAACUUGUGGCUUAAAUAAGAGUUCGUUUUUUUUCCAUACAUGCUCCUAUUUGUUUGUCAAAGAUAUAAGAUCCAAUACAUUGCUCAUGAACAUAAUGUGUAAUUUUGUUC